rnacentral:rRNA from 1 species
UGGGGAAUAUUGGACAAUGGGGGCAACCCUGAUCCAGCCAUGCCGCGUGCGUGAAGAAGGCCUUAGGGUUGUAAAGCGCUUUCAGCGGGGACGAUGAUGACGGUACCCGCAGAAGAAGCCCCGGCUAACUCCGUGCCAGCAGCCGCGGUAAUACGGAGGGGGCAAGCGUUGUUCGGAAUUACUGGGCGUAAAGGGCGCGUAGGCGGCACAUCAAGUCAGAGGUGAAAGCCCCGGGCUCAACCUGGGAAUUGCCUUUGAAACUGAUGAGCUAGAGUCCGGAAGAGGAUAGCGGAAUUCCCAGUGUAGAGGUGAAAUUCGUAGAUAUUGGGUGGAACACCAGUGGCGAAAGCGGCUCUCUGGUCCGGAUCUGACGCUGAGGCGCGAAAGCGUGGGGAGCAAACAGGAUUAGAUACCCCCGUAGUCC